rnacentral:lncRNA from 1 species
CUAUUCUUAUGCUAAGAACUGCUUUCCCUUUAUAUGUAUAUUUUUUUAAAUCAACAGAAUGAUACCAAAUCCUAAUACUUGCCAGGCACUGUGCCAGUCACUGGAAAAAAAACAAACAAACAAAAAAACAAAUAAAUAAAAACAGGUAUAGGCCAAGAUCCUGUGCUUUAUACCCAGAUUCUCAGCUGGUGUAAGCCUUCUUCAAACCACCUGUCCUGAGAGACGAACAAGGGUUUCCUCAGGGGGAAACUGGGGUGAGGGGGUGAGGAAUAAGUGAUCUCUAAAAGAAAAAAAGCACAGGUGCUGGCUUGGUAGCCAGAAAACAAAGCCUGCACUAUACCAGUAUGAUUCUGUAUCUCUAGAAUUCCCAUCUAAAGUACUUACAGGGCAAGCUUUUACAUUUCAUAAGACUAAUUAUGUUGCUGACCUUCUUUAUGGUCCUUCCUCUUUCAUUAUCUGAACUUCAGAGGUUUUUCUUCUUGCACAUCGAGUCUUAUCACAGCAGUGUGACACAGUCACUGCUCCACACUUAAGGACAGACCAUCAAAAUCCCCUGGACCUUGCCCAGGGGUGGCAGAGGUAAGUAGGAAGAGAUUCUAAAGAGAGACACAUGUAUCAGGGAAAGGAUUAGGACACCAUAAUGAUAAUAAGCUUGAAUGAAUUGAAUAUAAUUUUCAUUAAGAAAGAUGGCAUUUCUUUAUAGGUAAGGAAAUGUGGGGUCCAUGAGAAAGAAGAAGUUGUGGUUCUAAGGAUUGCAAAAGACAUAAAGACACUGUAUAUGUUUUCAUGUUCACUUUAAUUAAAAUCUCAUUGCCCUUUCAAGCCCCAAAUUUAAGCUCUGUUCAUUUGAAAUGGAGAGCUGUUUUAUCUUUUGCGCUUUCAGAAUUGUUCUUCAUUAUGAGCCAGUUCUUUUGUAAAGAUCUAUGUUUUCCACUCAAGAUCUAUGGAAAAAUAAAUAAUACUGAUUCCAAAUUUUGUAAGAGAAUGUUCAAAAGUUUGAUCACACGCAGGCCUCUUUGUUAUGAUAUAGUAAACCUUUGAUUGCAUCACUUCUAUCUAAACAUCUUUCUCCUCUCUCUCAGUUUGUAUGAGGAAAUCAAGAUUGGUUUUCUUGGUUGGUUUCCUGUUUUGUUUCUUUUAAAGCACAAUGACAUCCAGUUAUUCCUGGGGCACUAUGUUCUGUUGAGUCUUUUUCUUAUCAAUCUGCUAGAGGGGAAAAAAAAAUGUAAGGAUGUUUGUUUUUGCAAUAAUUAGGAAGGAAUUCUACCUUCUAUGUUCACACAGAUAGCAGGAAGUACACCCAUUGGCCACAACCCUAAUCACUAAACUUCAGAUUCCUUAAAAGCUCUAUUAUUUUAACUACCAUUCUCUUAAAAGAUGGCUAGUUGUAGAAACCUCAGGAAAUGCACAGGAAAUAACUGCCUGAGAAAAUGUUAGCUAGGGAAUUCGGUCAUAUAACAAAGUGGUAAGGCAUGACUAAAACUACACCCAAACACUGUUAUUUAAAUUCUCAAACUGUCUGAGUUUGUGGCAUUACAUAUUUGUAAAGAAAUAACUGUCACAAUAUGUAUGUCAUGUCUUAGAAAUAUAUGAACUUCAGAGGUCUUUAGGCAAAGAGCCAAGACAUCUAGUUAAUUGCUAACUUUUCAUGGCAAAGGGAAGUGGAGAAUUAAGUCACUAAUUCAGGCAAUAAUCUGCUACUGAGAGAAUUUGUGUUUAAAGAUUCCAUAGUGAUCGGCCACAGAGGCUGCCUGCCUUCCACUGUUCAUUUUGGUUUUGGAUAACCAUUUGAUUUACAAGUUUACAGAUACGUGAAUUGUGGAGACAGUGCAAGCCUCUGACCUUUAUUCUUAAACAUUUUUGAUUGAUGCUGUGCACUAGAAAGAGCCAAUGUAAAUAUGAAACAUUCUCUCCAAUAACUCAAGACCAAUCCAGAUGUAUGGUGAUUCCAUACCAGGCAGACCUGGGUUUGUAGUGCAACUUUGCUGCUAGUGCAGUGUGUAUGGAUUUGGACAUGUUUUUAACUAUCACUAUGCCUCAGUUUCUUUAUAUGUAAAAUGGCACUAAUAGCACCCAAUUCUUUGGCUUAAAGACAUACAUUUAAUUUUACAUUCAAAUGCUUAUAAAUACUUCUAAAAUUUAACUGAAUAAAUUUUGAAUAUAACCAAUAACUGAAUUUAAUGCAGUGUUCUUGUUUUUCUAAUUGACAAAUAAAGUGGUUUAUAAUCCUCAGAAUAUAGAAAUAGAUGAAAUGGUUAUAUCUAACUCAUGGUGUUUUUUAAGGAGUAAAUAAGAUAAUACAUGACCUUCUCUUGACAUACAGAGAGCACUAAAUAAAUCUUAAGCUACCACAAGUACUACAACCAUUGUAAGUAUAACUAUCAUGACUAUAUCUACCAACCUGUCUCAGUUUCCUCAUGUGUGAAAUAAGGAAAAUAAAACACCCUUUAUUUUUAUUUUAGAUAAAAAUAAUUUAUCUAAAGCUCUGUGCAUGGCACUUGGUACAUAAUAAGUGCUCAUAAAAUGUUAGCUACUACUGUUAUUCACCAUUGUGACUAUGACUGCUAUUACAACUACUACUGCUACAACCACUUAGUAGGAGAAACUACAUCCCCAUUAAUCUCAAAGAACUUGCAGCCUAAUUACAAAAUCAUUAAGGCAAAAAUAUUUCAGGAUAUAAUUUUCUUUCAUUAUUACUCUGUUAGGCUUAGACAGAGACUGGAGAAGAUCAAAAUCAGGUGGCUUAAAAUCAUCUAAAAACAUAGAACAAGUCUCUGCCUCUCUUCUCUCAUGUUCUCAGUAAGGAGAAUGUCAAUGUUACCAGGUCUUGAAAAACUUUUAGAGUACUAUUGCCUCAAAAUAACAGCAAAGAAUUUUGUCUGGCUUUUAAAUCGGUACAAUUGGUAGCUCAAUGUCCCGUCAUAGUUUAUCUUUCUCCUUAAUCCCAUUGGAUGUGCCUUGAUUCAUUUACACAAAUAUAUAAACACACAAAUUGGCCGGAGCUGGAGAAAGUAGCAAAGGAAACCCCAAAUGAGCAGCAUGUGACUGAUUAUACUUUGCAUUAAUACAGAAGAAACAAGUCGUUCACAAGAUACUGUCUUAUACCUGCUUCCUCUCGUAACUUUUACCUUUUUCAACUCUGGUCUACUCAGUCUAUCUUGGCUCUUUUUGCAAGAAUUUUCUACAGACCAUAGUAACCGGAAUUUUUCUGCUUGCCUUGGUGUGAAGGGGGUUAGAAACAUUUAAUUACAAAGAGAAAAAAAAAAAGUAUUCAGGAAAGAAAAGAUGAACAUAAAAAUAUGCUCUCCACAAGUUUUAUUAUAUGUGAAAAUAAUCUCUAUUUUUCUUUCUAAACUCAUGGUUUCCUUUAGUCCUUUCUUAUUAAUGUGGCUAUACACAAGGAGUACCCUCUAAGAUUUAAUUCAAUAGGAAAAUAAAAAAGCAUAUAAUAACAAUAAUAAACUAUAGAUAUAUAUUUUUUUCUUUUAACAAAGUUAUGAAAUACACAUUAUGGUUGUUUUAUUUGAACCCUUUUCUUGGAAGUGACACAAAGUCAAAUCAAACUAGAUUAGUAAAAGGGGUUAUAAUAUUGUUACCUGUAACCAAACCACAGUAAAACCAGUGGUAGGCAUGAGAGACAGUUAUCUGGCAUAAGAGCCCACAUAGAGUCUCCAACUUUUCCAACUCUGGGCUUUUGCUAAACAACUGGAAGAUCUAGAAUUUCAGUCAUAGCCUUGACAUCAGAAGAGGCUGAAAUAUGCUUUCUAAUGUUAGAAAAUCCUAGGAGAAAAUUCAGACUGGGCCUAACCUAAACUGUGCCAUCCAUUCGCUUCUAUUUUAUAAUUUAUCAAAUGAAUUUUCUGAGAAUUAACUGCAGUAUAAAUGAACACAGAACUAUGUUCACCUGACUUUUACCAUUUUCUCUUGAGUUCUAAUAAUUAAAUCAACAACUUUCAACUUUAAUCCAUACUUACACAAACUAUUUACACUGAGGAAAUGGAAGCAUUUCAUCAGAAAUUUAACUCUCUCCUUAAAUCAGUAUUUCUGAAUCUCCUAGUUGUGCCUAUGGACUAUGUGUAUUGAUUUAAUUCUCACAUUAAAAAAAUUACAAUAUAUAUAGAGAACCCCACUAAACUCAACUGACAUAGUAAUAAUAAAUUUGUUGUCAUAUAAUUCUUUUUAACUUUCUUGAAAUCAAAUCAUAGUAAACUGUGUAGUACGGUUUUCUGUAUACUAUUUGAGAAGAAUUUAAGAGCAAAAAUACUCAAAAUCUUUAUGAAAAUCCAAUCAGAAACCUAUGACUAAAACCAUCAAAGCUCACUUAGCACAAGGAGUUGUUUGCACUUUAACAGAACCAACCUGGGAUUCUGUUCACCUUAGUUAUUACCAUGGCAAAUUAGAAGGUUUGUUUAAAUAAAUAUAAAGGGUCCUUCUCUUAAUUUGAUCUUUGAAUACUAGUUUCUUAUAGCCAAUUCCAAAUAUGAGAUCUAUAACAAAUGUGAGGGACUUAUGAAAAUGCUAGGUAAGAAGGCAAGAUUAGUUAAAUGUUUUUUAACUAUUGUGAGAGGCAGGCCAGGAAGGUGAAGUUGGGAGAGGUGGAGUUUCUACUCUAGAACAGGAACCAUAGAUCUGUAUUUUGAUUAUGAUAACCAUAUAGUCUCAAGAAAAGAUUUAAAUUUCUUACCCCAACAGUAAGCAAAUUUCAAACUGAUGCUCACUGACUAGCUGUUAAGUACUUUUUUUAAAAUCUAUAUUAAUUUGUCCCACCAAAUGCAUUCUAUAUUUGCACUGGAGACAUACUAUAGUCUUGGUUGAAGCCUGAAGGUUCAUUUAAGGAAAAUGAGGGGAGAUCUGAAAUAUGAAGGAAACUACUUCUCCAGUCUCCUAGAAGGGAGGAAACAGAUUGGCAAAGGGUGUUUAUUUAAAUUACUAAAUUACCUUUAUAGUGACUUGAGGCCAGGGAGGUACUUAUUUGCAAAGCUGUAAUAGAAUGUCUUUAGCAGGAAAUCUUAAAUAAGGGCAAAACCACUUCAGGACCUUGGCUGGAAUUUUGAACUAUGAACAUUAAGCAAUCAGCAGGAAAAUGAUAUAGCAUUAUUUCAUUGAUAUAGACUGUGAUAUAAAUAAGCAGAAAUAAAGGAAGGAAGCAAUAGACUCCAUUGCAUUUGAUACUAAAUUUCCUUGCCAAGGAAGAAAAUAAAAAAGGAAAACAUAGCAAUUGCUUUAAAAGCAGAGCAAUAAAGAUAUUUUGAAACACCUUUAAAAACUCAUCAUUAACAUUAAAGAUCUAUCAAAACUGGGAAAGCGUGAACUAAGGAGAAAAAAACACAAAGCACAUUUUUCUUUCUUGAGCUUUUUUAGUCUCACAGUGCUAUGGAAUUAGAAUAGCAAGCUGAAAUGAUUUAUGAAAUGAAAAAUUCCUGCCCACCCAGUUCACAGACAAUCAUGUGCCGUAACUACUGUGUUCUGCGAUUUGCCAUGAUAUUUAGCUCAGAUGUAGCCAGAAAAUCCCACUACACACAGAGGAGUCAACCAUAAAAAGAAACAGAUUUCCUUGCAUUUCUCUCAUGUGUUUGUACACAGACACAUAGGAAAAUAAUACAUGUGUAGUUUUGCACACAUCAGUAAUUUCCCUUGUAUCUUAUCCUUUUCUUUCUUCUUCCUAAAAAUUUAAUUUACUUUUACUUUUGAAGUAAUUCCUACAUAAACUUCUCACUUCCUUUCUCCAUCUCGACCCCCUAACCCUGUUUCCUCUCCACAAGACUUAGAACCAGGUUGUUACCUGAGUAAUUUAGCAAAUAACCACUCUUCUAGAUUGAAUGUGCCACAAAAGUGAUUUUGUUAAAUACUGGUUUUCUUUAUAUCACUAAUUAGCUUUAUUAGGUAUGUGACUACUCAGGAGAGUAUCAUCUGGUCUGAAACUAAAUAGUGCAUUUGUUUGUGGUAUUAUGAAAAGCUUAAUAAAAACACUCAGGAGAAUCUGAGUAUUAAAUGGAGAAACCAUCAUUAACUGAAAUAUACAAGACUACUGACAAAUCCUUCCACAUAUACAUAUUUAAUCCAGAAACAACGCAGGGUGUUGUGGAAGAAAAGAAUCAUGUAUAAGAUAGUCUCCUGUCCCUCUGAGGACCCUAUAUUUAUGUUGGCAAGUUAUACACAAUGAAAUAAAGAUUAUCAUAAGAUUAUUUACAAUGAGACCCUCCAAUAGUUCAAUAAAAUGAAGAAAUUUUCAUAAACUGAGGGAAUUAGGAAAAGUCAAUGGAAAUGGUGGGAUUUGAGUUUAAAACAUAUUUCUGGGUAGUAAGGCUUGAAUACCAUGUAUGGAUCUCGCCACAGUGGAUUGUCUAGAAGUGAUAACUGCAGGUAAACUUCAGUCUUCGCAGUUAAUUAUAUUUCCCCAUAUCCUCUAGAUGUCUGAGCACACAAGGACAUUUGAGAAACUACAAAUCUUGGAAAGCAAGAAUAAGCAAGUAGCUGUAUAAGAGGUGGUAUGAUGGGAUAAUAUAAUGUGGUCUUAAUUUUAUCUCUGCCAUAAUCUCACUGAGUUUUUGGGAAGACAUUUAAAGAAGUCUAUGCCUCCAUUUCUUAAGGAUAAAGAUUAUGUUAAGACCAAUACUUUUUAGAGGAUAGAUCAGUGGAGAACAAAAUGCCUCACAGUGUGGGGAUGGAUAUUAAAACCUCUGGCAGAGGGAAACUAGUCCCAUAGGAGAGAGUCUUAAGUGACAUUCUUAAAGACCUUUUAGUCACCAAUCCCAUCCUCCUGUCCCUUCCUUGCCCAACAUGUACAAUUGGAUGAGGAUUACUUAUUGUAAAGGAAAUAUGCUGUGGAAGAUGUAGGUGGGUGCAGAGUUGAGAUGUACUUUAUCCUUCAUUCUCAUUCUUCUUGAUCAGUUCAAAUUUAUUUAUUUGAAUAUUCUUAUAUCUCAUCUUCAAGAACUUUCUUAGGCUCAGAGUCUAAUGAAUUUCUGAAUGAAAUUUCAGAAUACCUUAAUACUUGAUCUAAAAACUAACCUUGAUAAGGCUUUAUCUUAGCUAAAGGUGGAACAUUUAUGUCUAUAUGAUCUCCUGAUACAUGAAUUUGAAAUCAAUGGGUUAAGGAUCCAGCAUUAUCACUACUGUGGUGUGGGUUCAAUCACUUUCCUGGGAACUUCCUCAUGCUGUGGGUGCACCCAAAAAGAAAAACAAAAACAAAAAAUGAAAAAAAAAAACACUUAAAUCUUUCUUCAUUUUUUUAUAUUGGGGGGAACUGAAUCAAUUGGACCCUAUUCUCAUGGAAGCAGAAUGUGGAUUCUCCUCUUUAGCCUCUAAAAGGUAACUCAGAAAUAACUAGGUGUAAUCACUGGAACUCUUUCAUUUAGAAGUGAUAAACACCAUACUCUAAAUAGAGUAAGUAAAAAAAAGUUAAGAGGAAAAUAUUCGAAAGAUGGGAGCUCCUGUUUUGGCUCAGCAGGUUAUGAACCCAAAGUAUCCAUGAGGCUGCAGGUUCAAUUCCUGGCCUCACCCAAUAGAUUAAGGAUCUGGCAUUGCCGGGAGCUGCGACCCUAAAAAGUACACACACACACAAUAUUGAGAGCCUUUGAGGGCCAUGAUGCUAAAAGCCCAAGAAUUCAUUUCCUCAAACAUGGCUGGGAUUCAAGGUCCCAGAGAAUUCUAUCAGAAGAUCAGCUUUCUCUGCCUCUCUUCACAUAGCUGGAUGAAGGGCUAGCAACCAAAUAGUGGCAUGCUAUACCAGCUCUAUAUGCCUACAUCACAUGACCACCCCGUGGCUUGGGAGAGGAGGGUUCAGCUCAUUCCCAAUUGAAUUAUGUGGUUGUUUUCCUUAUGAAACAGAGGUUCCUUCCAUAAGGAAGGAAAAGGAAGAGGAUAGGGAAAAACAAUACGGCUACCACAUUUGGGCAGAUUCUGAACUAUGCUGGAAUUUGAGCACUCUGUCACCGUUAGAAUUUAUGAAAGGCCUUUCUCGUUCUAAAAAUUACAUAGAGAAUACCUUCUUUUCCUUCCAUUUUAAAAUUUAUUUUUGUUUUUAAAUACUUUGAGAGAAACAGGCAUAUAUGGAAUAUUGUGAAAGACCCAUUUGUUUAAGGGAUAGUUGUACUUCAGUUGCAAAGACAAUCAAAAUUCUACGAAAAUUACAACAUUUUCUAGCAUUUUUAUGUGUGAAAAUAAUAGCUAACAUUAGUUGAGCCGUCACUAUUUUUACAUUAAGUGUAAAGCGCUAUGCUAUGUGAUUUACAUGUAUUAACUCACUUAUGUCAUAGCCCUCCUAUGAAAUCUCAUCCUCUUUUUAUAGAGAAGAAAACAGAGUCACUGUGAGAUUAAUUCAAGUCACACAGCAAAGUUAAGAUGUGAACCACUCUUUGUUAAUUAUAUUAUCUCACAGUUUGCACAGUUUUGUGGUUUUUCUUUUACUUUCUUUUUUCUUUUUCCAAGCUGGAGUUUACAUGUCUGGAAAAUAGGAAUUAAUUAAACAGGAUAAGCCACAUGUUUAAACAAAGACUUUCUUUCCUCUUUUUUUCUUAGGGACUAAACUAUAUGUUG